rnacentral:lncRNA from 1 species
CCAAACCCUAUCAUUCUACACUACUCAUCGCCCCGAAAACCCUAUCUGUUCUCAAAAUAUCUCAAACCUAACCCUAUUCAAACCUCACUAACCCUCGCACAUGGCAGUCUACGAUGAUCUCUCACCACCCCUCAGGCAUCCAAUAGCCUCCCUCAUGUUAAUCUUGCCAUCUCCAUGGCCCUCAAGGGACCAGGGCUAGUUGGCUUGCACCUAUGGUUCCUUAUUCUCCUUUUUCAGGCUAUUCUAGUGCGAUUCUGAGUAAGAUCUUCCUAUGUUGACCACGAUCUAUGGGUUUCUUAGCAUGUUUCUUCACCUUUGUGGUGUUAUCUUCGAAACCCUAAUUUCUUUUCUAAAGCUCUUAGAUCUGUACAGAUCUAAGAUGAUCUGGGUUUGUUUCAUGUGAGUUUUACAACAACCUUGAGGUUCUUUACAAGAAUCAUAUGGUUUUCACGUGAUUUUCAUCUUUUUCUAAACUAGGGC